AGAGUUUGAUCCUGGCUCAGGACGAACGCUGGCGGCGCGCUUAACACAUGCAAGUCGAGCGAGAACCAGCCCUUCGGGGCUGGGGAAAGCGGCGAACGGGUGAGUAACACGUGGGUAAUCUGCCCUCGGCACUGGGAUAGCCCGGGGAAACCCGGAUUAAUACCGGAUGGCCUCUCGAGCUCUUUGGCUCGUGAGAAAAGGUAGCUUCGGCCUCCGGCCGAGGAGGAGCCCGCGGCGGAUUAGCUUGUUGGUGGGGUAAAGGCUCACCAAGGCGACGAUCCGUAGCUGGUCUGAGAGGACGAUCAGCCACACUGGGACUGAGACACGGCCCAGACUCCUACGGGAGGCAGCAGUGGGGAAUCUUGCCCAAUGGGCGAAAGCCUGAGGCAGCGACGCCGCGUGCGGGAAGAAGGCCUUCGGGUUGUAAACCGCUUUCAGGAGGGACGAAGCCACUCGGGUUAAUAGCCCAGAGGGUGACGGUACCUCCAGAAGAAGCCCCGGCCAACUACGUGCCAGCAGCCGCGGUAAUACGUAGGGGGCGAGCGUUGUCCGGAUUUAUUGGGCGUAAAGAGCGUGUAGGCGGCCAGGUAGGUCCGCUGUGAAAACUCGAGGCUCAACCUCGAGAUGUCGGUGGAAACCAUCUGGCUAGAGUCCGGAAGAGGAGAGUGGAAUUCCCGGUGUAGCGGUGAAAUGCGCAGAUAUCGGGAAGAAUAUCCGUGGCGAAGGCGGCUCUCUGGUACGGCACUGACGCUGAGACGCGAAAGCGUGGGGAGCGAACAGGAUUAGAUACCCUGGUAGUCCACGCCGUAAACGAUGGGUGCUAGGUGUGGGCGGUGUCGACUCCGUCCGUGCCGCAGCUAACGCAUUAAGCACCCCGCCUGGGGAGUACGGCCGCAAGGCUAAAACUCAAAGGAAUUGACGG
rnacentral:rRNA from 1 species